rnacentral:rRNA from 1 species
AGAGCGAACGUUAGCGGCGGGCCUAACACAUGCAAGUCGAGCGAGAAAGGGGCUUCGGCCCCAAGUAAAGCGGCGGACGGGUGAGGAACACGUAGGUAAUCUGCCCCACGGUGGAGGACAACGGUCCGAAAGGACCGCUAAUACUGCAUACGUUCCCCGGGUUCUCGGACCUGGGGAGGAAAGCCUCGCAAGGGGCGCCGAGGGAGGAGCCUGCGUCGCAUCAGCUAGUUGGUGGGGUAAUGGCCUACCAAGGCGAAGACGCGUAGCUGGUCUGAGAGGAUGAUCAGCCACACUGGGACUGAGACACGGCCCAGACCUCCUACGGGAGGCAGCAGUGGGGAAUAUUGGACAGUGGGCGGAAGCCUGAUCCAGCAACGCCGCGUGAGGAUGAC